CAAACCUAUGGUUUAAAUUAAAAUUUAUGAUUUGCACUCAUAAGAUGUUUCCGCAUAAACUAGGUUUGA
rnacentral:tRNA from 1 species